CUUAUCCAAUAAACUAAUUGGACUUGAUCUAAUCAAGCCCAAAUCAAAUCUAAUUAAAUCAUAUUUAAUUAGACUUAAUCUCAGCCCAUUGGCUUAAUAAAAUUAAGCUAAUUAGCAAUCGAAUUGCUAAUCGAUCCUCUUGCAAUACUUGCACUGGGUUAAAUGUCAAUCGUAUUGAUCAUUUAACCCUAGAACGAUUCUUAAUCGUUGAUCAACCAUCC
rnacentral:lncRNA from 1 species